GAGAGAAUACAGAUGCAGGUGAAUGGCAGACGACAGUAAACAAGAGACAGAAAAUGAAAGUGAUUCAAUGAAAUCACCACAACGUUGCAGUGUCUUCCUACGUGUCACUGACCCGUACUAGAUUGCCUAUUGCUGCUUUACGUUGACAGAACGGAUAAAUAUUUAACUGUCGCAGAGAAAGUGGGCGGCAUCGGGUCUCAGAGAAGAAAAUGACACUAGUUGGCCUACGUCAUGUGGCUGUGUUAUCAAUGGUGCGAUGACAGGGUAAUUGUUUGUUUUGUUCAUUAAAAAAAAGUGAGAGGAAGAAAACGUUGCUCCACAUGGAUCACUAACCGGGUACGCGCGCGACAAUCACAUUGACAACCGAGAUGAGGGGAGGAAAAACUAGGCCUACCAUGUGACUGAAAUAGUGUAUGUACAGAGGAAAACAGUUUAGGAGAGCAUGAUAUCUAUUUACCAGGUCAGGUGAGGCAAGUGGCUAAGGGUUAGAUAUUUUGUCCCAAUGGCACUUUACGCGCGGACAUAAAUCAGUCGUUUCAGCACCAUGGAUAGCGAACGGAGACUCGCGCAGGUAAUCAUAGAAAUGCGGUCGGAAAUCCGGAAAUUGGAGUUAGAGAACAUGGGGCUGAGAAGAGUUGGAAACAAGUUAAGAAGGAGUACUACCGCCCCUACAUUAGUGGCCGAAUACAAAAAGAGCAUCGUCAUGACUGUGAGAAGAUAUUCCAUCUUCCAGUCCUUGGUCGAUCAUCGACCCAGGAGAUUUUAAUGUGACCAUGGUGCAGAGAGAGAGAGAGAGAGAGAGAGAGAGAGGGAGAGAGAGAUGGAAUAGCCCUCUGACGGAGGCACGGUGGACACUGGACAGCAUAAUGUGACAUGUGAAGGGUGACAUUUACUUUGUUUUUCCGUUUAUCACCUGACCCUCGCCUGACCCUCGUCUUGUUGUGAUGUGUGUUUUGUCCUAUAUUUAUUUAUUUUAUUUUUUAUUUAAUCCCAGGCCCCGUCCCCGCAGGAGGCCUUUUUCCUUUUGCCUUUUGGUAGGCCGUCAUUGUAAAGAAGAAUUUGUUCUUAACUGACUUGCCUAGUUAAAUAAAGGUUCAAUAAAAAAAUUAAAAAAUAAAUAACUAUAGCCUUGGAUUGAUAAGAGUGCAACGUUACCCUCUUGUGGGUGUUUGCUGUAUUGCAGUGGAGGCUUAUUUUCACGAAUGUAGCCAGCACCGGCUACUUUAAUUCUCUGAGCAAAUACCAACAGUAAUUGUAACACAAUUAUUUUUGUGCAUAGCCAAAAUAAUUAAAGUAAUUCUUUAAAAUG